UACGGGGGGGGCAAGCGUUGUUCGGAAUUACUGGCGUAAAGGGCCAGUAGGCGGCCAACUAAGCCGGAUGUGAAAUCCCCAGGCUUAACCUGGGAACUGCAUCCGAUACUGGAUGGCUUGAAUUCGGGAGAGGGAUGCAGAAUUCCAGGUGUAGCGGUGAAAUGCGUAGAUAUCUGGAGGAAUACCGGUGGCGAAGGCGGCAUCCUGGACCGACAUUGACGCUGAACGGCGAAAGCUAGGGGAGCAAACGGG
rnacentral:rRNA from 1 species